GUUUCUCUUCUCACUUUUACGCCUUUUUUUCCCUGCCGUCAUUGUGCUCAUUUCUGCAAAUCGUUUUCUCCGCCUGACUAGUCUUUCGCUCGCUAUCGCGUUUAUUCCUGAUAACCCUUUUCUUCUUCUUCUUUGUUCGUUUAAAGUUUUGAUUGAUUCUCUCCUAUAAAGACACAGAUGGAUAGGUAGAUAUGAAGCGCAUAUAAGGGAUAACAGCGAUUGUCGCUGCAUUUGCCGAGUACAUCAUAGAAGGGAGGAAGGUGCCUUAUCAACUUUUUAUUGAAAAUAUAAAAUCUAGAUAUUGUAUAUUGUUGUAUUUUCAUGCAAAGUCAAAGAAACCACCAAUGGCGAUAACCGAUUUUCAAGCUACACCAAAUAUAGAAGAAGGUAAAGGAGAAAAAAAGAAGAUUAAAGCAAAGAUUAAAGACAUUGAAGCUGCACCAACGGUAGAAGCAUGCAAAAAGAAAAGAAAAAUUAUUAUUAUAGAGAAAACGUAGUGAUGUUAUAUAAUUAUAA